UACGUAGGGUCCGAGCGUUGUCCGGAAUUACUGGGCGUAAAGAGCUCGUAGGUGGUUUGUCACGUUGUUCGUGAAAACCCACAGCUCAACUGUGGGCGUGCGAGCGAUACGGGCAGACUAGAGUACUGCAGGGGAGACUGGAAUUCCUGGUGUAGCGGUGAAAUGCGCAGAUAUCGGGAGGAACACCGGUGGCGAAGGCGGUUCUCUGGGCCUUACCUGACGCUGAGGAGCGAAAGCGUGGGGAGCGAACAGG
rnacentral:rRNA from 1 species